UAAAUAGCCAGGCCGGCUUUGGCUGGUCGCGGGCUUCUUAGAGGGACUGUCGGCGUCUAGCCGACGGAAGUUUGAGGCAAUAACAGGUCUGUGAUGCCCUUAGAUGUUCUGGGCCGCACGCGCGCUACACUGACAGAGCCAGCGAGUCUAUAUCCUUGGCCGGAAGGUCCGGGUAAU
rnacentral:rRNA from 1 species